rnacentral:rRNA from 1 species
GACGAACGCUGGCGGCGUGCUUAACACAUGCAAGUCGAGCGGAAAGGCCACUUCGGUGGUACUCGAGCGGCGAACGGGUGAGUAACACGUGAGUAAUCUGCCCUUGGCUUUGGGAUAGCCACCGGAAACGGUGAUUAAUACCGGAUAUGACCACUUCACGCAUGUGAUGGUGGUGGAAAGUUUUUCGGCCAGGGAUGUGCUCGCGGCCUAUCAGCUUGAUGGUGAGGUAAUGGCUCACCAUGGCUUCGACGGGUAGCCGGCCUGAGAGGGUGACCGGUCACACUGGGACUGAGACACGGCGCAGACUCCUACGGGGGGCAGCAGUGGGGAAUAUUGGACAAUGGGCGGAAGCCUGAUCCAGCAACGCCGCGUGAGGGAUGACGGCCUUCGGGUUGUAAACCUCUUUCGCCUAUGACGAAGCGCAAGUGACGGUAAUAGGUAAAGAAGCACCGGCCAACUACGUGCCAGCCGCCGCCGUAACAC